AUACGGAGGAUCCGAGCGUUAUCCGGAUUUAUUGGGUUUAAAGGGUGCGCAGGCGGCCAUUUAAGUCAGCGGUUAAAUCGUGGGGCUCAACCCCAUUCUGCCGUUGAUACUGGGUGGCUUGAUUGCGGUCGAGGUUGGCGGAAUUCGUUGUGUAGCGGUGAAAUGCAUAGAUAUGACGAAGAACACCGAUUGCGUAGGCAGCUGACCAGACCGCAAAUGACGCUCAUGCACGAAAGUGCGGGGAUCGAACAGGAUUAGAUACCCUGGUAGUCCGCACAGUAAACGAUGAAUGCUUGUUUUCGGCGAUAUAAUGUCGGAGGCAAAGCGAAAGCGAUAAGUAUUUCACCUGGGGAGUACGCCGGCAACGGUGAAACUCAAAUGAAUUGACGGGG
rnacentral:rRNA from 1 species